rnacentral:rRNA from 1 species
UACAGAGGUCUCAAGCGUUGUUCGGAUUCAUUGGGCGUAAAGGGUGUGUAGGUGGCGCGCUAAGUCGGGUGUGAAAUUUCGGAGCUUAACUCCGAAACUGCAUUCGAUACUGGCGUGCUUGAGGACUGGAGACGAGACUGGAAUUCAUGGUGUAGCAGUGAAAUGCGCAGAUAUCAGGAGGAACACCAAUGGCGAAGGCAGCUCGCUGGAACGGUACUGACGCUGAGGCGCGAAAGCGUGGGGAGCGAACAGG